AGAGUUUGAUCCUGGCUCAGGACGAACGCUGGCGGCGUGCUUAACACAUGCAAGUCGAACGGAGGUUAUUUUGAAACUUAGUGAUAGAUAACCUUAGUGGCGGACGGGUGAGUAACGCGUGGAUAACCUGCCUACAUGCCUGGGACAACACCGGGAAACUGGUGCUAAUACCGGAUACGCUCUUGUAUGCACAUGCAUAUAAGAGGAAAGGAGCAAUCCGCAUAUAGAUGGGUCCGCGUCCCAUUAGCUAGUUGGAGGUGUAAGAGACCCCCAAGGCGACGAUGGGUAGCCGGCCUGAGGGGGUGGACGGCCACACUGGAACUGAGACACGGUCCAGACUCCUACGGGAGGCAGCAGUGGGGAAUCUUCCGCAAUGGGCGAAAGCCUGACGGAGCAACGCCGCGUGAGUGAAGAAGGCCUUCGGGUCGUAAAACUCUGUCUUCAGGGAAGAAAAAAAUGACAGUACCUGAGGAGGAAGCCCCGGCUAACUACGUGCCAGCAGCCGCGGUAAAACGUAGGGGGCGAGCGUUGUCCGGAAUUACUGGGCGUAAAGGGCGCGUAGGCGGUCAUUUAAGUCAGAGGUGAAAACUACCGGCUCAACCGGUAGCCUGCCUUUGAAACUGGAUGACUUGAGGGCAGGAGAGGGGAGUGGAAUUCCCAGUGUAGCGGUGAAAUGCGUAGAUAUUGGGAGGAACACCAGUGGCGAAGGCGGCUCUCUGGCCUGUUUCUGACGCUGAGGCGCGAAAGCGUGGGGAGCGAACGGGAUUAGAUACCCCGGUAGUCCACGCCGUAAACGAUGGGUGCUAGGUGUAGGAGGUAUCGACCCCUUCUGUGCCGUAGCUAACGCAAUAAGCACCCCGCCUGGGGAGUACGGCCGCAAGGUUGAAACUCAAAUGAAUUGACGG
rnacentral:rRNA from 1 species